rnacentral:rRNA from 1 species
UAGGGAAUCUUCCACAAUGGACGCAAGUCUGAUGGAGCAACGCCGCGUGAGUGAAGAAGGCUUUCGGGUCGUAAAACUCUGUUAUUGAAGAAGAACGUGUGUGACAGUAACUGGUCAUGCAGUGACGGUAUUCAAUCAGAAAGUCACGGCUAACUACGUGCCAGCAGCCGCGGUAAUACGUAGGUGGCAAGCGUUGUCCGGAUUUAUUGGGCGUAAAGCGAGUGCAGGCGGUCUUUUAAGUCUGAUGUGAAAGCCUUCGGCUUAACCGAAGAAGGGCAUCGGAAACUGGGAGACUUGAGUGCAGAAGAGGAGAGUGGAACUCCAUGUGUAGCGGUGAAAUGCGUAGAUAUAUGGAAGAACACCAGUGGCGAAGGCGGCUCUCUGGUCUGUAACUGACGCUGAGGCUCGAAAGCGUGGGUAGCAAACAGGAUUAGAUACCCUGGUAGUCCACGCCGUAAGCGAUGAAUACUAAGUGUUGGAGGGGUUUCCGCC